rnacentral:rRNA from 1 species
UACGAAGGGGGCUAGCGUUGCUCGGAAUCACUGGGCGUAAAGGGUGCGUAGGCGGGUCUUUAAGUCAGGGGUGAAAUCCUGGAGCUCAACUCCAGAACUGCCUUUGAUACUGAAGAUCUUGAGUUCGGGAGAGGUGAGUGGAACUGCGAGUGUAGAGGUGAAAUUCGUAGAUAUUCGCAAGAACACCCGUGGCUAAGGCGGCUACUCUAGUACGGUACUGACGCUGAGACGCGAAAGCGUGGGGAGCGAACAGG